AUCUUCACUGUACCUCCUUGUGCAACGCGGACAGGGAAGGUCAUGUAGCAGCGCAGAAACAGCUUCCUUACUCCAGAUCCUGUUACCGGCAAAUUGGACUGACUGUUGCUGUGCGAGUGACUGGCUGAGAUCCACUGGGAGGCUUGAGGAAGGCUUGAGAGGGCAGAAGAGAGUAGAAAGGGAGCUGAAGACUGCUGCAGUAACCACACACAAACAGGGAGAGAGAAAUUCAAUUUACCUGUGAGGUAUCUUUUAAUCUUAGAGUACCGCACUGGAGCACAGUGACCGAGUGAAUGUCAUAGUGUAUGCCGUUCUUGAUUUCAUUGAUCUUCAGAUAGACAGAGCUUGGUGGAGACUAGAAUAGAGACACCCACACCAUCCAUGGUUUCUAUCUGCAUAGGCUGAAAUUUAAAAGGAUUUCUGUGGGUUUGUGACAAUGAAUACUCCCGUUACUGGUGAUUUUAACAGCCAGGAUGAUGUGGGCGACUUCAUUUAAGCCAGGACCCUUUGCAAUACAUUAAAAAAAGCUGCUGUACUAAUUCUGCCAAACAUCCUCCUCAAAUGCAAGUAGUAAAGGAUCAUAGGAAGAUCUAUGCUAUAAUGAAUGAUUUUUUUAUUAGGAUACAUAUUUUAGCUGUGCUAAUAAUAACUGAUUUAUAGACCUCCAUAAUAAGUUGCUGGUUGCUGUUGAAAAGCCUUCUGUUAAUACUGUGCCAAACUAAGUCUAGCUGUCGAUUCUUGUUAGAGUUAUGAAGAUUCCUCGCGUCUAGAGCUCUCGGUCCCCAGGUGUUCCGUCGGGUUGUCUGUCUGUCUGUCCAGCUAGCUAUCAGCGUGGACAGUGCCAUUAGAGUAGAGACAUGGCCACGGAUUCAUGGCAAGACACUGGAAAGACCAGGAAAAGUCACUUCAGAUCCUGUGAGAAAAAAUCCUCAUGGGCCUCCUACAUGACCAACUCCCCCACCGUGAUUGUCAUGACUGGCCUCCCGGCGCGAGGGAAGACCUACAUGUCGAAGAAGCUCACGCGCUACCUCAACUGGAUCGGAGUGCCCACCAAGGUUUUCAACCUGGGUGCGUAUCGCCGAGAGGCUGUCAAAAUGUACAAGUCCUACGACUUCUUUCGACACGACAAUAAAGAAGCCAUGGAAAUCAGAAAACAGUGUGCCUUGGUAGCUUUAGAAGACGUGCAAGCCUAUUUGACGGAGGAAGGGGGGCAGAUCGCUGUAUUUGAUGCCACAAACACAACCAGGGAAAGAAGAGAGCUAAUCCUAAGUUUCGCAAAGGAGAACUCGUACAAGGUCUUCUUCGUGGAGUCUGUGUGCGACGAUCCUGAUGUCAUUGCUGCUAAUAUAUUGGAAGUGAAGGUGUCCAGCCCGGACUAUCCUGAAAGACACAGGGAGCGUGUCAUGGACGACUUCCUGAAGAGAAUCGCGUGCUAUGAGGUUACAUACCAGCCCCUGGAUCCAGAUAACGACGACAAAGACUUGUCCUUCAUUAAAGUGAUCAACGUGGGCCGGCGCUUCCUCGUGAACAGAGUCCAGGAUUACAUCCAGAGCAGGAUCGUCUACUAUCUCAUGAACAUCCACGUGCACCCACGCACCAUCUACCUGUGCCGCCACGGAGAGAGCCAGCACAACGUCCUGGGCAAGAUCGGGGGUGACUCGGAGCUGUCAGCGCGCGGCAAGCAGUUCGCUCAUGCCCUGCGGGAUUUCAUCAAGCAGCAGAAGCUGGCUGAUCUGAAGGUGUGGACGAGCCAGCUGCGGAGGACAAUCCAGACCGCCGAGGAGCUGGGCUCCCCGUACGAGCAGUGGAAGAUCCUGAACGAGAUCGACGCGGGGGUGUGUGAAGAGAUGACCUACGAGAUGAUCCAGGAUUCUUUCCCAGAGGAAUUUGCCCUGCGAGACCAGGACAAAUAUCACUACCGCUACCCAGGAGGAGAGUCCUACCAGGACAUGGUGCAGCGUCUGGAGCCCGUGAUCAUGGAGCUGGAGAGGCAGGGGAACGUGCUGGUCAUCUCACACCAGGCCGUCAUGCGCUGUCUGCUCGCCUAUUUCCUGGACAAGAGCGCAGAUGAACUUCCUUACCUGAAGUGCCCACUGCAUACUGUCCUCAAACUGACCCCUGUUGCUUAUGGCUGCAAAGUGGAAACGUUUUACUUGAACAUCGAAGCAGUGAACACUCACAGAGACAGACCUCCUGAUAAAAGCGGAAAGGAUCCAGCCCCGACCCUGCAGCGGCGGAAUAGUUUCACCCCUCUGGCUAGUCACGACCAGGUCAAGCGGCCACGGCUCUACAGCGCUGGCAACCGGCCACGCCUACCCCUGACCACGACACUGGGGGCGCUGCACUUCCCUGAGCCGCAGCAGGGGGCGCUGCGUCAGCAAACCCAAGUUAGUGUCACUCACUACAUCGCCUCUCCCUCACAUCCUCAAUCACAACCUGCAUCCCAUUAAUCAACGUUAUUACAUUAUUCUGCACCAAUUAAAGUAUUCAUGGAUUCGUGCUUCAACCACUAGGCAGAUCACUGAACUGACACAAUUACAGUUGAUCAUCUUCUUUUGUAGUUUAAACCGCGCAGUUCUUCUUUCCUCGGGUUUAGCGGAUCAUGAGACUCCAUCACAUAUGCUGAGAUAAAACUGGAAGAAACUAAGGAUAAGUCACUAUGGAUAAGUCAGUUAGCGCCAUGUCUUUACUCGUGGUUAGAACGCAAGGCAGCGCCCUGGAUAAAUAAGCUGCUGCCCAACUGUUUUGUUCACUAAUUCCUCUGUACCUCCUCUCCUGUUCCUUAACCCAGCAAGCAUGUUGCUAUGUAAAAAGUAAACUGCUUCAAAUGCCUAGUGUCUACAGUUUAUUGUUUGCAACUGUUCUGAGUGAUUCUGUCACGUCAACAUUACUGGAUUCCCUAUGCUUUUGAAAUACUCUGCUAUACUAUAGGAUACACUGAAUUCCCCUGUGCUUUCGAAACACCAGUCUGCUAUACUAGAGAACAUGGUGAUCUGGAAUGAGAAAACCAGCAUGUAAGAGAACCUAAAAACUCACCCGGAAUUUCAAAACAGCUCAAUCAAAACUCUCAGAAUAAACUGAUAAACCUCUUCAGUGUUCUCAGGAUUAGAGCUUGAAAUCCAUUCAAAGGGUUCAACCCUUGUAGGCAAGGGAAAGGCAACCCCACCAUUUGAAACACUAUCAGUUGAAUAAUGAGGCACUUAGGUCAUGAUACAGUAUGCAUCUCUACCUGAUACAUGAUAUGCAUCGUAGUCUGUGGGUGAUGUUCUGGUCCUCUAUUACACUGUUACACCUGUAUUACACUGUCACGCCUCUAUUACACUGUUACACCUGUAUUACACUGUCACGUCAUCUAUUACACUGUCACGUCAUCUGUUAGUAUCAGGAGUGAUGAAAGCACAGUGAAUCAGUGCAGCUCUGGUCCUCCUCCCUGCUGAAGAGUCCCCGUGCACAGCUGUCCUUGCUCUUCAUCUGUGCCUCAGCUCUUCUCCCUUUCUCCUCCCCUUUCUUUCUGCCUCUCCCUCCCUUUCUUUUCACAGCAUCGUUUGGGGAAUGCCUGCAUGGGUCGUUCCAGCCUGGCUGCCUGUGAGUCUCUAGUCGCUGUCUCUGCUUCUGAGUAGAGCCUGAAGGACACCCUUGCAUUGCUCCCACCUGCUUGUAACGUCUGUUCAAACUCCUGCUCUUGACGGCUUCAGCGACAAGCAUAUCUGUUUUUUGUAAUAAAUCCCGUAAGCAAUGUGGAAGGAGGCUGUGGGUGCAAGCAUGUGCUGCUCUUGUAAAUAAGUAGCUUUGAUAAUAUAGCAGGCUUGCAGCUGAAGUUGUGUGUGUGACAAGUUGUUAAACACAGCCAAACCUCGGCUUCUAAUACAAUAACGGUCCGCCAGUACAUCUGAAUGAGUUUUUCUCGGUUUCAAAAAAGUAAAAAUGCAUGAAGGACUUGCACUGAUGGCUUCAAAUGUUAAGCUCUGAUAUGAGAUCAGACUACCUAGAAAUAUAUAUAUAUAUAUAUAUAUAUAUAUAUAUAUAUAUAUAUAUAUAUAUAUAUAUAUAUAUAUAUUCCCUGAUUCUCAUUUUACUUUAAAUUCUAGCUGUAUGUUUAGUUAUUAAUCCAUUGUUGCACAAAUCUGGGGACGUAUUUUUUAUUUAUUUAUUUUUUAAUUCCUGUGAUUUGUAUUUAUUCACUUUUGUCAAUCCUACUGUUAUAAUGACAGUGGCAGACUGAUCAUGCCUUCCUGAUGAGAUACACAGCAUCAUGGACUGUAUCUAUUUGUAUUUAACUGUAAUUGUACUGUUCUUAAAGAUACUCGUUUCUUUAAGGGAAUGUCGAUUUGUCUGUAAAGGGAGGGAUGUGACUGAGAGAUAGAUCAAGAACAUCCCGGACACGUUACACUAGUUUGGCUACUGGGUUUCACUCCAUAUUAGCAAAAGCUGAAGAGAUUUUCUUCUGUAAAAAAAAAAAAAAAAAAAAAAGGGUUUCUUUGAACAGAAAUGAAGAUUUGGGGUUUGUUUUGACACGAGCAGUGCAGUGGUCUCCUAAUUCAAGUUGACUGUGACAGCCCCAGCUGUUUAAACACUGGCAUUCAGUGUAAAACUGCACUUCACAGGGUUUUCAGAGAACACAGUGGCAACUUGAUUUGAACUAUAGUGUAACCCAUGUUAAGAUGGUUAAAUAGCAUGUCCUUAACUUUCUGAAUCUGACUCAUUUGCUUGCCUUACAAAGUAAUCAAUAUACACAGUAUGUAUGUAUAAAUAUUUGUAAGUUUGUGAGUUAUCUAGAUUAGGUAUAAAGCGUACUGUAUACUGUAACAAUCAAUAACAAAUUACAACUAACUCAAAACCUACUGAUUAACUCAGUCGCCUUAUGGUCAAUGUAUUCUGGCUGAAUGUAUAUACAGCACAGUACUGUACACCAUUGACCUGGCAAGCCAGUAUAUUAAAUGCAUUACAGAGGCAUAUCUGUUAAGGGUGCAUUCGAAUACCAUUAGGUGGUAUUUGGUUAAAACUACAGAAUGUUGUUUGUUUGUUUUUUUUCUUCUAUCUGCAGAUUUUCUUGUUUACUGUCAUGCAAACACCUCCGAGCCCGAGCAAUGGUAUCAUGACUUCUGCUUUCUAUAGCUGAAGUUGCCUUUAUUUGAAUUGUGUGCCAGGGCGUGCUGGCCUUGCCCAUCAGGGGACAGCUAAUCUCUGUGCUGUCUCAUUGCUCUGAACACUACAUUCACUUGGAUGGAUUGCACUGAAACACAGGAUUUUUUUAGUUUUUUGUUUGGCACUCCCAUAUGAUAAACACUUUAGCGUACUAAAUUCUUUGGACAACUCGAUGAGAGUACCUAACUCAGCGACUCUCCCCGUGUGUGCUCAGCCAUGGUAAUGCCCACUGAUCUACUAAUGGUACCAGGGGGGUGAUUUGUUGUAACAGUCUGCAGUUGCGCAUGUCUCCCUCUGCUCCGUUGUGAAGGCGUGUGCAGGUUUUCAGAUCAAUGAGCCGCUCGUGAGAUUUGAGUAUCACAGGCAGAAAUAUCCUAACAUCCAUACAGGGAAUGAGUUUGUGCACUGCAAGCUCUUAGUACUCUGUGGACACUAUUCUUUAAAAGAUAAGUGGAACCCGGGUAUGAGAAAUGAAAUUCAUGCUAGGGAAGAUUUAUAACUGUUUAGAUUUCUGUGAACGCAAUCAUUAUCUAGUCAAAAUGGCUGAUUAGUUUAAUAUUUUAAAAUAAUAUUUGUAAUCCUUGCUUUUAACUGAACUAGCAAUGCAAAACUUUGUAAUGGAGCUAGUUUUGCAUAGGCAUUUAAAUAGAUGUAUUUUUAGGACAUAUAUUAAAAUAAAAAAGUUUUAAAAAGUGUAAUUUGUGGCACCAAACAUUGGGAUUUAAUGAUCUUAAUAUUUAAUAGUUAGAUUACGUAUUUCUGUGUCUGAUAUAUUCAAUGUUAUUUAUUGGCAAACUGCAGUGUGUAAUCAGGAAUGGAUUACAUUUUCAUUUCAAAAGCUGUGGAAACGCACAAUAUUUCUGAGCUUGCUCUACUGCUGAUUGUAUAAAAAAUCUGAUGUCUUUUGUUUGCUAACAUUCUUCUGUAUGUUGCAAAUCAUGAUGAUGUUAGAGUAAUUCAGCAAUGUGAUUGCACAAUCAAUAAAAAAAAAAAAAA